rnacentral:rRNA from 1 species
ACGAACGCUGGACGGCGUGCCUAAUACAUGGCAAGUUUUUAGCGGAGUUAAUCGGGAGCUUGCUCCUGGUUGACUUAGCGGCGGACGGGUGAGUAACACGUAGGCAACCUGCCCGUAAGACUGGGAUAACUACCGGAAACGGUAGCUAAUACCGGAUAAUCAAGUUUCUCGCAUGAGAGGCUUGGGAAAGGCGGAGCAAUCUGUCACUUACGGAUGGGCCUGCGGCGCAUUAGCUAGUUGGUGGGGUAACGGCUCACCAAGGCGACGAUGCGUAGCCGACCUGAGAGGGUGAACGGCCACACUGGGACUGAGACACGGCCCAGACUCCUACGGGAGGCAGCAGUAGGGAAUCUUCCGCAAUGGACGAAAGUCUGACGGAGCAACGCCGCGUGAGUGAUGAAGGUUUUCGGAUCGUAAAGCUCUGUUGCCAGGGAAGAACGUCUUCUGGAGUAACUGCCAGGAGAGUGACGGUACCUGAGAAGAAAGCCCCGGCUAACUACGUGCCAGCAGCCGCGGUAAUACGUA